rnacentral:rRNA from 1 species
CCUAACACAUGCAAGUCGAACGGUAACAGGAAACAGCUUGCUGUUUCGCUGACGAGUGGCGGACGGGUGAGUAAUGUCUGGGAAACUGCCUGAUGGAGGGGGAUAACUACUGGAAACGGUAGCUAAUACCGCAUAACGUCGCAAGACCAAAGAGGGGGACCUUCGGGCCUCUUGCCAUCGGAUGUGCCCAGAUGGGAUUAGCUAGUAGGUGGGGUAACGGCUCACCUAGGCGACGAUCCCUAGCUGGUCUGAGAGGAUGACCAACCACACUGGAACUGAGACACGGUCCAGACUCCUACGGGAGGCAGCAGUGGGGAAUAUUGCACAAUGGGCGCAAGCCUGAUGCAGCCAUGCCGCGUGUAUGAAGAAGGCCUUCGGGUUGUAAAGUACUUUCAGCGGGGAGGAAGGGAGUAAAGUUAAUACCUUUGCUCAUUGACGUUACCCGCAGAAGAAGCACCGGCUAACUCCGUGCCAGCAGCCGCGGUAAUACGGAGGGUGCAAGCGUUAAUCGGAAUUACUGGGCGUAAAGCGCACGCAGGCGGUUUGUUAAGUCAGAUGUGAAAUCCCCGGGCUCAACCUGGGAACUGCAUCUGAUACUGGCAAGCUUGAGUCUCGUAGAGGGGGGUAGAAUUCCAGGUGUAGCGGUGAAAUGCGUAGAGAUCUGGAGGAAUACCGGUGGCGAAGGCGGC